rnacentral:rRNA from 1 species
AGCGAACGCUGGCGGCAGGCUUAACACAUGCAAGUCGAACGCCCCGCAAGGGGAGUGGCAGACGGGUGAGUAACACGUGGGAACGUACCCUUUGGUUCGGAAUAACUUGGGGAAACUCAAGCUAAUACCGGAUAAGCCCUUAUGGGGAAAGGUUUACUGCCGAAGGAUCGGCCCGCGUCUGAAUAGCUAGUUGGUGAGGUAACGGCUCACCAAGGCGACGAUCAGUAGCUGGUCUGAGAGGAUGAUCAGCCACACUGGGACUGAGACACGGCCCAGACUCCUACGGGAGGCAGCAGUGGGGAAUAUUGGACAAUGGGGGCAACCCUGAUCCAGCCAUGCCGCGUGAGUGAUGAAGGCCUUAGGGUAGUAAAGCUCUUUUACCCGGGACGAUAAUGACUGUACCGGGAGAAUAAGCCCCGGCUAACUUCGUGCCAGCCGCCGCGGUAA